rnacentral:lncRNA from 1 species
CGCUAGGGGAACGCAGCGGCUCCGCAGAGGCUCCAGGUCGCGUCUCCCCAGGCUGCUGCCCUCGGGUUGGGGAUCGGGGCAGGCGGGGUGCGACUGAGCCCUUCUGGAGCCGCGAGCAGCCGCCGGGAGCCGCUUCCCGAUGUGUGGCACCGCGGGGCGAUGGCAGCAUUCCGCCGGCCUGGGAGCUGUAGAGGUGGAGCAGUAAGGCUUCAGGCUUCUCCCGGCAGAAGGAAAGAUCUCCCGGAGAGCUUCCAGCACGUACGGGCCGGGCCGGGAACCGGCUGGCGGCUGCGGGACGGGCUGCCCCGAGCGGUAUUCACGUUGGCUGCCAUCAGGCAGUCCGAUGAUGGUGUGCGAGAGGGGUGUGAAUGGAGAGCCGUGUGCGGGGCACCGCGCUGCUGCGACCUCCGCGUUCGUGGCUCCGUCGGUGGAAUUAUUCUCCUAGAAACGUUUGUUUUAACAGUGCUGACUUUAACGACAAACUUUCCCUUCGGAAAGAGCUGCCCGCACCACGGCGACGUGAGAACGAAACAGAACGGCGGCACGGAUGAGAAUUAAAACCGAAUUCCUCUUAUCUACGUGAGAAAUCAGUCGGAAGAAAACGAAAUUAUAUCCGAUUUAAAGAAAAACCGUCCCUCAGCCCCGGGCUCGUUCCGCGCUGCGCUCCCGGCGCUGUGAGGCGCAUCGCCCCGCACUGCCGCCUGCCCGGAGGGAACGGCAGCGAGCAGGUUGGUGCCAACGCACACACUCCUAGUGCAGCCUGAUGGCUCCGUUUCUUAAUUACCUCUCACAGCCGAAUGAAGCGUGACGCGGACGCACGGAGAGCAGCCGGCUGGCCAGGCUGUCCCCGCCCGGGGUGGUUCGCAGCGCUGUGCGGCCCCCGGGCAGCGGUGUGCACGGUGCUGUGCUUUACGUGUGCGCCCUGCCGGGCCCGCAGCCGCUGCUGCGGGCUCUCCCGCUGUCGCCGUAGCAGCAGAGGUGCCGCGGGAGAUGUUUUCUCUGUAAGCAAAGCAAAGGGCGUGGAUCGAGGGCUGGAAAAGCACCAUCAAAGCGGUUCCUUCGUACGUCUGAGCGCCGAUCCGGUCACAGUUAAUCGGCGAACGUCACGACGGCUCUCUGAACAAAACGCCCUUCAGCUCCCGGCCGCAAACAGCUCCGGGGGGAGACAGACGGACGGCCUUUGGCACCGGGUAAGGGGAACGGCUGCGGGAGGGUCGGAAUCCAGGGCAGCCCUGGGCCGGUUGGGGCUGUGCCCGCCGCUGGGCUGCACCUUUCCGUGCGAUCCGCAGGGAAUCGCCAGAACCGGAGCUCCGCCGUGCGAUGACCGCCUCCAGUGACAUCGAUGGCGUUCGUCAGGGGGCGGAUUUCGUGUCCCGAGACGUGUCCGAUAGCCUGGGAACUUGCCUGUGCAAAAUCCCUUUCCAUCAGAGAUGUUCCACGAGGAUGAAGAAAAUAGAGCUGUGAAGAGAAGAGGCGGAUGUGCAGUGGUUGUUCACACACCGAAAGCUUUGUGUCACAGCAGCUCUGAUGCUUUUCUGAAGAGACAAUUCUGCAAUUGUUAGAACUGCCAACCCAAACUCUGCCCUGGCUGUUCUUCUACGGCUUACAGCAACCUCCAAACUCGCACUGUGUGUAGUGUGGCUGUUGUGUCAGGUAAGUGUGUGUAAGUCAUCCUACAGCAGCAGGUUUCAUCUGAUUUGGCGGUCAAGGAAGUGACUCCCAAAACACAGCAAGGUCUGUAAGCAAGAAGCUGGCUGUUCCAUUUGGGCUAAGGGGCUUUUUCCUUCCCUACUGCCCAGCUGACUGCCAGCUCCCAGCUGAUCCCCCAGUUGGCGUUUUCUGAGCUACUUACUAAGAGCUGAACAUGAACCACAAGUACUUUUGAAUGCUGACCUCCC